ensembl:lncRNA
CUGAGCUCCUUUUGGAGUCAUAGAAACCAACAUGCUGCAGGAAGAACCAUCAGUCUUCCCAUCCUUGUUUCCAUGUUUCAUGCAUGUAUUUGUUAGGAGGAUCUACAGCACUCACUCAGGGCAUCUGGGAGAGUAAGCCUGAACAUUUUACCCGUUGGGGCUGUGUUGCAUGUAGUCUCCGUUCGCUCGUCCGGUGUUCGUCCUCUGUCCACAUGUAGGGCUUACUGCUGGGCGAAACCGACCCUUUACCAGGUCGGGGCCAGAUGCUCACCCAGACCCCAGGAGUAAGUGAGGCAAAUGGCGUUUAUUCACUACUAAACACAGCUUAUAUACAUUUUUACCUAGAUAACCGUGCUGUCAUGUCCCACUCUGAUUAGUUCACACCAGAUAACAUUGUGCCUUAUUUGGCCAUUUCCACAUUCUUUUAUCAUCCUUCUUCUUCUCCUGUUUUCUCUGCAACAAGGUCAGCACGAUAGCACUAUCUCUCUAUGUUUAGGGAGAGGCCUGUCCCGUACAUCCCGUGCCCCCGCAAGACGCCUACUACAACAUCUCCCCCUCCCUAAGCUAAAUACUACUUACACACACACCUAACCCGUACAUCGCGAAGCAGCGCAAAACGCCUAAUCCUAAAUAUAUUUCAGCACACUAUUCCUACUAUUUUCUACUACAGUUCUUAAGCAAUCAUCAGAGCAACAGGGAAUUCUUUUCCGUGCUCGGCCAAGCCUUGCCCCGUUACAGCACGAACGCAACAACCUAAACCCCUCUAUAAUUUUUCACGCAAUCUAUGAUACUCAAUGUGAUAGUCAAAAGUCUUGUCCAUCAUUCGUUGAAGGCAAGCAUCCUACAAAGCAUGGAAGACAGAUUAGAAUACACACAAAGAUUGCAAAUCCUACUGCGAGAGCUUUAAGCAAUUGCUUUAACCAUGAACCCGUUCCCCCAAACAGUCCGUCCAGCCAGCUUCCAAAGGGAUCACGCUCUUCUUUAAUUUUCUGCAUAUGUUCUUGUGUCCAUUGUAGUUGUUUGUGACACUCUGUAAUCGCCAUGGACACCAUAAAUAUCAGCAACAUUGGAAGUGUCAGCGUUGCAGGUGUAGUGCUCCUCUUGACGAGUGGUUCUUGAUCCCAUCGUCUGUCCCUCAGUUGUUCUGGAGUUGGCUUCGGUCUGCCAACGAAGAAUUUCUGUAGAAAACUCGCACCUAGACUCAGUUUUUGCAGAUAUGCUACUUAUAUCUGGUAUUACUUUUCGUGAUGGUACCCACAGAAUUUCCCAGAUUCAUGAUAUUUAACUGCUGCAUACCCGACCACGGAUACCCUUUAGCAAGCCCUUCCUGUGAUCAGGAGGCCCUGACUGGCCUCCCCCACAGGGGCAUUGUGCUCUAACAUGGCCAUACUGGCCGUAUGGAAACACAGCCCUUGCUGCUGCAGCGAUCUUUGCUGUCGCAGGCCAACAGCUACGACAAUAGCUGUGACUAGCCUUUCAUUAGUUAAAUGAGCCACCUUGAGCUUAUCUAAGACAUACUGAAUAACUUCUCCCGAGCUAUUAAGCGUACUUCGGCCGGCUCGCGGCAAUGCCUUAACAUUGUCAUGCGAUUUCUGCUGCAAGCAGUCAAUGAUCACUGGCCCUUGGGCCGGUACCAGGAGAUCAGACCCCUCUGCAGCAGCUAAAAGCCUGUCUGUAAAGCUUUGAAAGGAUUCAUUCGGGCCCUGGGUAAUAUCUGUGCACGGAGUAGGUGGUUCGGCCUUAUGCACAAGUUUAUUAAACGCUUCCACCGUUGCAUCUGUGGCUGCUAUUAGCUCCCCUGGCCUUAGUCUCGCUAGCUGGCCCUGGGGCGAAGCCACUCCCACGGCCUUCCCUGAAAGCCGCUGUAUUCCGGUCCCAUGCAGGGAGCGGCGCGGGCCGACCCCUGUCGCCCCGGCACGGCCCCCCAACUCGGCCACCCAGUCCGUCUCCCAUAACGUAUAUUGAACCAGCCUGAGCACCGUACGCAUUAAGUUUGUGAUGUCACGGGGGAAGAGAGGCCCCAGUGCAGCCAAAGUUUGUAGUGCAUUUAAUGUCAGAGGCGAUUUCAGGCCUCUUUUAUCCAUAAAUUCCACCAGGCGCGUAACACCCCCGGGGUCAGGCGGCACCCAUUCGGGACCACGAUCACUCACAAUCACCCGGAAUGCCUCUGGAACUAUACCCUUUCCCAAAGCCUCCGAUCUAAUCCCAUUCCAGUCCGUCAUUUGAUCCCUCCCCCUGCACUCAAAGCCAGUCCCUUCUUUCUCUUCUACACUAUCACUCGCACUACCGCCCCUGGGAGUGACCAGAGACAGUAGGCUAUGCCCCCUGUCCGCAUUGGACGGACCUUUUGUCUGGUCCCUCCCCAUGUGGGCACUAAGUUGAUCCUGCCCGUGUAGAUCACAGCUUCCUCCGCCCCCUUGAGUCAGUGAGCGCGGUCGGCUCAGCCGGCGCCAUCCCGCCAACGGUCAUUGGCGGCUCCGUCUCCUCUCGGCCCCUGCAAGAAACUGCUCCCGAACCCCCAUCGGACCCGACCGGGUCCUGUGUCUCACCUCCUCCGCUGAGACCCAAAAGGUAUCGAGCCUCCACCAAUACCUUUCCCUCAACUCUGGCCGCUUUAAGGGCUCCUAAUAUCAGUCCCCACGUUUUAAGUUCCGUAGCCUUCUGACUGGCCAUGGCGCGCUGGCAUAGCACCGAGGUGAGCAAGUCCCACCUACUCGAAUCCAAAACGUAGCGGGGAGAGUCCAGCUCCCCCAGCUCAUUUAACAGCGACAAAACUGCCGCGAUCUCCUUCCGGGAAGGAGCAGAUUUUCCACAGUAGUCCUUACAAAACUGCACAAGUACCUUAAUGACUUGGUCCAUUGUUACGUAUGCGACCUGCCGCCACCUCGCAGGCUCUUAACCGCAGUACGUCUUCCGUGCGCGACCUGCCGCCACCUCACAGGCUCUUCUCCGCGUCACGGGCACGCCGGGCAGCCACCCUCAGCAGACAGAUCACGUCGGGGUCACCACUUGUUGCAUGUAGUCUCCGUUCGCUCGUCCGGUGUUCGUCCUCUGUCCACAUGUAGGGCUUACUGCUGGGCGAAACCGACCCUUUACCAGGUCGGGGCCAGAUGCUCACCCAGACCCCAGGAGUAAGU